UGAUUGUUCUUACAGUAAAAAAACCUUUCCUUUGCCUUAGACGAAAUCUUCUUUCUUCCAGUCUAAACGCAUGGCCUCGUGUCCUAUGUAAAGUCCGGUUUGUGAAUAGAUUUCCACACAAUGGUUUGUAUUGGCCCCGAAUAUAUUUGUAUAAUGUUAUCAUAUCCCCUCUCAGGCGACGUUUUUCUAAACUAAAUAGGUUUAAAUUUGUUAACCUUUCUUCAUAGCCGAUAUGUUCCAUUCCUUUUAUUAAUUUUGUAGCCCGCCUCUGCACUUUUUCUAGUGCCGUAAUAUCCUUCUUUAGAACAGGUGCCCAAAAUUGCACAGCAUAUUCAAUAUGGGGUCUUACCAGUGAUUUAUAAAGAGGCAAAAUUAUAUUCUUGUCCCGAGAAUGAAUGCCCUUUUUCAUGCAUGACAAUACCUUACUGGCCUUGGCCACUGCUGAUUGACAUUGCACAUUGUUGCAUAGUUUGUUGUCUAUAACAAUUCCCAAGUCCUUUU